rnacentral:tRNA from 18 species
CUCGAACCGUAGACCUUCUCGGU